GGACUCAGGGGGAAGUAUGCUUGCAAGAGUGAAAUUUAAAGGAAUUGACGGAAGGGCACCACCAGGAGUGGGACCUGCGGCUCAAUUUGACUUAACACGGGGAAACUUACCAGGCCCGGACAUAGUGAUGAUUGACAGAUUGAAGUUCUUUCUUGAUUCUGUGAAUAGUAGUGCAUGGCCGUUCUUAGUUACGUGGAGUGAUUUGUCUGGUUAAUUCCGAUAACGAACGAGACCCCAGCCAUCUAACUAGCCGUCGCUAGCUCGCUAGCGCUUGCUCCGCAAGUUCGGCUUCUUAGAGGGACCAACUGUGCUCAGCAGUGGGAAGCAUGGGGCAAUAACAGGUCAGUGAUGCUCUUAGAAGGUCUGGGCUGCACGCGUGUCACAAUGGCGCAUUCAGCGAGCCAGCCUGCCCCGAGAGGGGCGGGUAACCAGGAAUGUGCGCCCAAGUGGGGAUAGACGAUUGUAAUUGUUCGUCUUGAACUAGGAACUCCUAGUAAACGCAAGUCAUCACCUUGCAUUGACUACGUCCCUGCCCUUUGUACACACCGCCCGUCGCUCCUACCGAUCGAAUAAUGCGGUGAACUGGGUGGGGGGCGCUGCCGCGAGGCGGCGCCCGAAGCCCCGUGAACCUUGUUAUUUAGAGGAAGACAAGUCGUACAAGGAAGGCGAAUUCCACAU
rnacentral:rRNA from 1 species